AACUCCGGGAAACCGGGGCUAAUACCGGAUGGUUGUUUGAACCGCAUGGUUCAAACAUAAAAGGUGGCUUCGGCUACCACUUACAGAUGGACCCGCGGCGCAUUAGCUAGUUGGUGAGGUAACGGCUCACCAAGGCAACGAUGCGUAGCCGACCUGAGAGGGUGAUCGGCCACACUGGGACUGAGACACGGCCCAGACUCCUACGGGAGGCAGCAGUAGGGAAUCUUCCGCAAUGGACGAAAGUCUGACGGAGCAACGCCGCGUGAGUGAUGAAGGUUUUCGGAUCGUAAAGCUCUGUUGUUAGGGAAGAACAAGUACCGUUCGAAUAGGGCGGUACCUUGACGGUACCUAACCAGAAAGCCACGGCUAACUACGUGCCAGCAGCCGCGGUAAUACGUAGGUGGCAAGCGUUGUCCGGAAUUAUUGGGCGUAAAGGGCUCGCAGGCGGUUUCUUAAGUCUGAUGUGAAAGCCCCCGGCUCAACCGGGGAGGGUCAUUGGAAACUGGGGAACUUGAGUGCAGAAGAGGAGAGUGGAAUUCCACGUGUAGCGGUGAAAUGCGUAGAGAUGUGGAGGAACACCAGUGGCGAAGGCGACUCUCUGGUCUGUAACUGACGCUGAGGAGCGAAAGCGUGGGGAGCGAACAGGAUUAGAUACCCUGGUAGUCCACGCCGUAAACGAUGAGUGCUAAGUGUUAGGGGGUUUCCGCCCCUUAGUGCUGCAGCUAACGCAUUAAGCACUCCGCCUGGGGAGUACGGUCGCAAGACUGAAACUCAAGGAAUUGACGGGGGCC
rnacentral:rRNA from 1 species